AAAAGCUCAAAUUUGAAACCCUCGGGAUUGUAAUUUGAAGAUUUGGCAUUGGAGAAAGCUAACCCAAGUUGCUUGGAAUAGUACGUCAUAGAGGGUGACAACCCCGUCUGGCUAACCGUUCUCCAUGUAUUGCCUUAUCAAAGAGUCGAGUUGUUUGGGAAUGCAGCUCAAAGUGGGUGGUAAACUCCAUCUAAAGCUAAAUACUGGUGAGAGACCGAUAGCGAACAAGUACUGUGAAGGAAAGGUGAAAAGAACUUUGAAAAGAGAGUGAAAUAGUAUGUGAAAUUGUUGAUAGGGAAGGAAAUGAGUGGAGAGUGGCCGAGGUUUCAGCCGCCCCUCGUGGGCGGUGUACUGCCGACGCCGAGUCAUCGAUAGCGAGACGAGGGUUACAAAUGGGAGCGCCUUUCGGGCGUUCUCCCCUAACCCU
rnacentral:rRNA from 1 species